rnacentral:rRNA from 1 species
AGAGUUUGAUCCUGGCUCAGAACGAACGCUGGCGGCGUGGAUAAGACAUGCAAGUCGCACGGAGAAAAGAUAGUUUACUAGCUUUUCUGAGUGGCGCACGGGUGAGUAACACGUGAGCAACCUGCCUCUUAGUGGGGGAUAGCCCUGGGAAACCGGGAUUAAUACCGCAUAUCAUCGCAAGAUGAAAGCAGCAAUGCGCUAAGAGAGGGGCUCGCGGCCUAUUAGUUAGUUGGUGAGGUAACGGCUCACCAAGGCGAUGACGGGUAGCCGGUCUGAGAGGAUGUCCGGCCACACUGGAACUGAGACACGGUCCAGACACCUACGGGUGGCAGCAGUCGAGAAUCAUUCACAAUGGGGGAAACCCUGAUGGUGCGACGCCGCGUGGGGGAAGAAGGUCUUCGGAUUGUAAACCCCUGUCAUGUGGGAGCAAGCUAGCAAUAGUUGAUAGUACCACAAGAGGAAGAGACGGCUAACUCUGUGCCGGCAGCCGCGGUAAUACAGAGGUCUCAAGCGUUGUUCGGAAUCACUGGGCGUAAAGGGUACGUAGGCUGUACCAUAAGUCGGGCGUGAAAGGCA